CCAGCCAUCGUGGCUGUCCUGUCUAGCUGAGAUUCUGCUGACUGUAAGUACAGAAGACGUCUGACUGCGAUCAUGUACUAGACCCCAGUGAGUGUUCAGCUGAGCCUUCCCUGUAUUCCUGACCCACAAAAUGGUAUUUUUCCUCCUCUUUUCACCUUCAAGUGAAAAGCACCUGAAAUCAACUCAGGCAAGACCAGGGCUGCAGGAACGCCCAGCUGGGUGGUUCUGAUGACAGACUGCCUCCUGGUUCGGAACUCAGCUGGGACACCGUCCUUCAUGAGGACUUUUCAUGCCUCCUUUUAAGCUCCUCAGUGAAUCCAAUCUGCAGUAGUGGUGGAAGUUGGGAGCCUCAAUUCUGCCGUCAUAAGGAAUUGAAAAGGCUCUGAAAGUUGGUGAUUGUUCCCAUGUCCAGCUCAAGGGCACCGAGCCGCUGGGCUGAGGUGGAGACCAAUGUCCCCGGGGCAGUAGCCCAGAAGGAAGCCAAGGCCUUUUUGCAAUAGUUGAGUAUCCAGACCCAUCUACAGGGAAAUCUUUGAAAAUAUUCCUGCCACUGAAGUCAUGUUGGGCUUCUUAGUUUCAGUCCCACUAAGCCCUUGUGGGAACUUCAGGUGUGUAGUGGUGAGAGAGGGGAGACAAACAGGAGAGGUGAUGGAGCGAACAAGGUGAGAAUAAAUCCCAUUCUGGAAAUAGCUUGAGAUUGAAAAUUCAACUGGAAAUCAUACCUGGGAGCAAAUUCAGAAAAUGAAUGAUGAAUGAAUCCAGUAAUUAAAUUCAACUAGUUCCUUUUAAUAUGAUUUUCCCCCUGAGAAUAAUCAGCAGAACUCUAAGAAAACUCUUUGCCAAAGUUAUCUCAUUUAAUUACUGUAAUUCUGUGUCACAUACAGAGGAAGAGAUGGAAGAUAGAGGUUUGACUUCCUGGUUUCUGUGUAUCUGGUAAUAUUGUCUGGUUCAUGGGCUGGGGCGAGGUGGGGAGCCAUUGUUUUAUCUAAUACAGAGGUAAAUUUUGUGGCUGUUUGAUUAUAAUUUCUGAUCUGAAUUUGAAAGCUCUUCCCUACCUAUGUGAUUAACUUGAAAGAACUUGGCUGAAGGCAUCCGGGUUAAUAAAAGUCUUUUUGG
rnacentral:lncRNA from 1 species